GGAUGAGACUGUUAGAGAAAAUGGGGUAUAAGGGAGGUGGAUUAGGGAAGAAUCAGCAAGGGAUUGUGGCCCCAAUUGAAGCGAAGAUGAGGCCUAAGAAUAUGGGAAUGGGUUUCAACGAUUUUAAAGAAACUUCAGCUAAGGUGCCUCAGCUGGAGGAGAUUAAGAGUGUGGCCCAAAGCCAGAGCCAGAGUCAGACUGUGGGGAGAGCAAAGGAGAGGCUCUGGAUGAA
rnacentral:misc_RNA from 1 species